rnacentral:lncRNA from 1 species
GUUGCUUACCCUAUUUCAUCACCUCAUUCUGACUCUCAUCUGAGAACAUAAUAUUCUUUUCAGUUUUAAGAAAAUAGUGUUUGUAUUUUCAUUCAUAACAAAGUAUUUCACAGUGUUGGAAUCAUUAUUAUUUCCCUGCUUACUUUAUUCCUCUUUAAUUGGAAGUUUCAAAUGAUUUAACCUGUUGUUAGUGUCUCAUACCAUGGAAUAUUCCUUUUGCCUCUCCAGGAGCUGGGCUGCCAAAGGGAUUUGCAACAGAAUUGGCCUCUGGGGGAAAGUUUUCAAUUAGUUCAUUAUUCCAACCUUUUACAAAGCAGAAUCCGAAAAUUCACAGGCCGAAUUGUAUCAGCUCAUCUGUGUACUGAGGAAGCGUAUAAUGCGGUGGAAGUUCUCACACAGACUUUUGAAUUGAACUAAGCUACACAAAAAUUCAAACUUUGGAGUGCAGACAAAGCAACCAACUGUGCAAGACUACCCACAGCUGAGGGAUGCGGGGAUUUCAACGCUAAACUGGACUAUCCUCAGAAAAUGAUGACAGGCAGUUACCCUAGGAGUAGAAUGUAGUAUCCUGAAACAAAACGGAUGCUUUGUUUUGUAAAUUUACAAAUUUGGCAAAAUAUACUUCUCAAAAACAAAAUAGGCAUGAACAUCAGAGUAAAAUAACAAGACACAAUUAUACAUAAAUCUUCAAUGGUCUAAUCAGAAAUCCAUUUCUGAUAUAAUAACAAUAAAAUUUUGAUAAAUUUCCUUUCA